rnacentral:rRNA from 1 species
GAUGAACGCUGGCGGCGUGCUUAAUACAUGCAAGUCGAGCGGAAGGGCGCUGCGUUUGUGGCGCUCUCGUUUGGCGAAGGGGGGAGUGACACGUGAGGAACCUGUCCCUAUCUGUGGGAUAACUUCAGGAAACUGGGGCGCAUACCGCGGAUGAUCUUCUGCUCCGUGGUGUGGAUUGGAAAAAGUCGGCGUUGCGGUAACGACUCGCGGCAUCCGCGCUGCAUUAGCUAGUAGGUAAGGUAACGGCUUACCAAGGGAAGGAUGCAUAGCCGACCUGAGAGGGUGGUCGGCCACACUGGAGCGGGGACGGGGUCCAGGCGCCUACGGGAGGGAGCAGUAGGGAAUCGGCCGCAAUGGGCGAAAGCCUGACGGAGCAACGCCGCGUGAGUGAUGAAGGUCUUCGGAUCGGAAAACUCUGUUAUUAGGGAAGAACAGAUGUGUAAGUAACUGUGCACAUCGUGACGGUACCUAAUCAGAAAGCCACGGCUAACUACGUG